ACUGAAAAUGCAUUGCGGCUAACCCGAAGCUGUGACUGAAAGCAUGCUGCAAGCCCCGAGGCAGUCACCAAGACCCCCCUUCUCAGCCUGCCUUAAAGGUCAGAGGUAAACCACCGCCCCAGCUGCGACGGGGCCGACCGGCCCAGGAAGUAGACGCAGCCGGCGAGCGACGCCUUCGGAGCCGCAGCGCAUUUCCUGUUCCCCAUCCUGAGACCACAACUGUUGUCAAAGCUUCACUUUUUCUGAUGUCAGGUGGAAACAAAUAUCCCACGAUGUACCAAAGCAUCACCGAGUGACAAACAAAGUAAAGUUGUGCGGGAGGAAAACACACAAAGAGCUCAAACUCACAGGAAUUCCCUUUCUUCCCGAACACACAUCCUUGUGCUCGGUUUGGAGCUCCGAGCAAACGACUUCUUCUUCCUCAGCGAAGGAGCGGACACGGCGGCGGACAUGACUGGAGCCUCACGGGAAGAUGAGCAACCAUACUUCUGAAAAAAAGGCCAGCGGGACGACGGGAGGACGGUCUAACGAAGGAUCAGAGUCUCCGGUUCCAGAGCAGACGAGUCGAUGGAAGUGGAAGUCGAGCAGAAGGAAGCUCAGGAACCAGAAACGGCUCAGCUGGAUGACUUGCAGAUCUGCGGCGCAGCCUGCGCUCACGCAAACAUAGAAAAGCUGCUGUUUUAAAUAAAAAGGAGCUAAAUGAAAGCGGAGUCGGUGGAUUUGACGUACCCAUGGAUUGCUGCGUCAGCUGCGAGUUGCGUCUCUGCAGGGCAUCGGCGGUCUGAGUCCCGCAGAUCGUCUUCUGACUUCCUGCUCUGAGUUUCACAGCAGCGGCUCAGAAAACGGCUGCAGGUUUCAUUCAGACUCGUUUGUUUCAGCCUGAGGCUUCAAGAGCUGCUGCUGCUGCUGCUGCUGCUGCUGCUGGUGCUGCAGCCGCGGCUCGGUUCUGGUCAGACUUCCCCUUCAUGGAGCCACUCCUCCAUCUGGUCAGACGUGUUAAUGUGUAACUCAGGCCUGCAGUUCAACUCUCAGCCGUUAUUUAGUCUUCAGAAACUUUUCUUUUGUUUUUCUUUCUACUUUUUCUGUAUUUUACUUUCCUCUCUUGUUUUCUUCCUAUUUUUUCUGAACAUUUCCUUUUUAUUCUCCAUUUCUUUCAUUUCCUGUUUUGCUCUUUUUCUUUAUUUUUCUCUCUAUUUUCUUUCCUGGUUUUUCUUUCAACUAUUAGUAUUUUUUAUUUAAUUUUUUUCUUUUUUUUUCUUUUUUUCCCACAAAUUCAUUUAUUAUUAUUAUUUAUUGCCAUAUUUCCUCCUCUGCUCUUUUGCCUUUGUUUUUAUUUGUCCUAUAUUUGUUUUUGUUGUUGUUUUUGAUAUUUAACUCCUUUUUUAAAAUGUUCUCUAUUUUUUCCAUUUCUUAUUUUUUAUUUUCAUUUUUUCUACUUUUUGUUUUUUCCUCCAUAUUUAUCUGUCCUUUUUCUCUAUUUUCAUAUUUUUCCUUCAUUUUUCCGUUUUCUUUUUCUUUUGUUUCCCCUUUUCAUCAGAUUUCUUUUUUUUUGUUUAUUUUUCUUCUUUAUUUCCAUUUUUUCCAGUUUUCCUUCAUAUUUUCUUUUUAUAGAUUUACUUAAAACUUUUUUAUUAUCGUUCUUAAUUCUCAUAUUCUUGUUUUUCUUUAAAAGUUGUAAAUUUUCUGAAGUUAUUCUGAGUUUUGAUGCAUCACAAACGGCAAUUUUUUUAUUUAAUAUGAAAAUUACAACCUGUUCAAUGAAUCGUGGAUCCAUUUUUUAGAGGAGACGGUGAAACCAAACACACUACAGGAAUUUAUUUUUACCUUUUAUUGCAGCUGAAAGACGAAGUUGCAUCAAAACAAUGUAAUCAACAGACUGAUUGAUUACUAGUUAUUAGUGUCACUCUUUCUAUAAACUUUUAUUUUGGCGUUCAUUUGGGACAAAGAGAAGACAACUUCUGAAAUAAUUCACAAAACUCUAACAUUUCUCUUUCUGCCAGAAGAUUUAAGAAAAAAUAAAAAAUCAGCAAAAGCGAAUGAGAUGAAUCAGCAUCGAUCAACUGAUGAUGUCAUCCAAGUCAUAGGUUAUCAUUUCUGCUGCCUGGAAAUUGAGCUGCUAUUCAUUCCAGUCAUGAGACAGUCAUACUGCAACCAUCUUCAGUCAGAGGCCUCCUCAGAUUCACUGCAACAGUGACUGCUACUGGAGAUCUUUACUCCCCACAGCAUCACUUUGAAGAUACUAGAGUUAACAUUUAAUUUCACUUUGGGAUAAAUGAAGCAGUUUUACGUUGAAUUUGCAGGAUUUUUUGAUCUCCAAAUAUUCUGAUCACUCAUAUUUUGACCUUUUUGUUUUAUUUAGAAAUCCUCAAAGCGGAGGAAGUAUUCAGUUCGUACGAGUGAAAGUCAAACCCUUUGUACGUGUUGAUUCUGAGCACACGUACGCCAAGAUGUUCCAUUAGUAAAUAAACAAAAAUAGAAAGAAA